UCCGGUUCCUCACCGGCAGUCUCCUUAGAGUCCCCAACUUUACUUGCUGGCAACUAAGGACAAGGGUUGCGCUCGUUACGGGACUUAACCCAACAUCUCACAACACGAGCUGACGACAGCCAUGCAGCACCUGUCUCUGCGCUCCUUUCGGCACUCCCAACUCUCAUCGGGAUUCGCAGGAUGUCAAGAGUAGGUAAGGUUCUUCGCGUUGCAUCGAAUUAAACCACAUGCUCCACCGCUUGUGCGGGCCCCCGUCAAUUCCUUUGAGUUUCAACCUUGCGGCCGUACUUCCCAGGCGGAGAACUUAUCGCGUUAGCUUCGAUACUGAUCGGUUCCCCAACCAACAUCUAGUUCUCAUCGUUUACAGCGUGGACUAC
rnacentral:misc_RNA from 1 species